UUUUUCGAGUAAAGUUUGAAGAAAUCCUCUAUGAUGUCUUUCCCGAAGUGAUCCUCGAUUAGUCCCUGGAAAACAGCCCUUGUGAGUAAAAUACCCCUUUCGACAUCUGCUGCUGCUUCCUUUGUAAAUGGAUUAGGCAGGAUCCGAGAAUGGCGGUAUUCAUACCCAUGCCACACUCGGAGGGAAGGACGCCAUCAGGAAUCCCGAUUACUAUGAUCACCAUUAAACCUCCAGGAACGAGUUCAUCUCCCCGUGCAUCCAGAAAGGGGAGUUUUUAUCCACGAUUUCCUUAGGGAGCCUCGAGAGAUACAUAAGCGCGCAAGAGCAGUGCCCGAGAUGCAGGGAGCCCUUCGGAAAAAGGCGGCCAUGGAAGGAACCUGGAACAUAUGAAAUCCAACAAAGUAAUCAUCCUUUCAUUCGUUCCAUGCAAGAAAGAUUGAGUUCCUUACCGGGUACCCCAGCAGUAAAAUGGCGAGGGCGGUUAGUAGGCAUGUUUCUGAACAGAACAUUGAAAUCAUUCUCAGCGAGAUCAUUAAAGAAGACAUGAAACUCUGGUAUCCCCGAUUCCUCCUGCCAUUUCUUGCAGUAUUUUCGCUGCACUGCUUCAGAAAUGUUCUGCACUGCCAUGAACGUGUUUGGUCCCGUAGAACAGCCAAAAUCUGCCAUUUGAAACGGUUUAGAGGGGUCGAAGCAAGAGCUUUCAACAUCAAGAUGCUGCUCAAUUAGCUCAAUGGUGAGUUGCUUUGAGUAAUUCACUAGUUGUUUCUGCAUUUAAAAAAAAAAAAACAUGAUCAACUUACAUGUCAUGAAAUUUUCCAGAAAAUUCAUGAAUUUAUGCUACCUGGUACUUGGAAUUUUUUGUGUAGCUUUCAGGGCCAUCACCACCGUUCAUGUGGAUUUUGCAUGCAGGCUCAUUGGUCAUCUUAUGAUCCAUUUUGCCUUUUGCUGUGUUAUGGCUUGAGGCUCUUACACUAUAUAGAAUGCAAUCUUUGUGCCCAGUGAUACCAAUGUCGCGUAGUGGAGUUGGGUGAUCGGACAUUAGAUUCUUUUGCCAUCAAUUUUCAUUAUUUGAAAAACAAAAAAUAAUGCAAAGCUUACAUCAAGUUUCAUAGGGGACCAACAAUUCAUUAUUGAAAAAUGCUUGAGACAAACCCUAACAAUGUUUGAAGA